rnacentral:tRNA from 1 species
GCCCCAAUAGCUCAGAGGUUUAGAGCACUGGUCUCGUAAACCAGGGGU